rnacentral:rRNA from 1 species
UACGUAGGGUGCAAGCGUUGUCCGGAAUUAUUGGGCGUAAAGAGCUCGUAGGCGGCUUGUUGCGUCGACUGUGAAAACCCACGGCUCAACCGUGUGGUCUGCAGUCGAUACGGGCAGGCUAGAGUUCGGUAGGGGAGACUGGAAUUCCUGGUGUAGCGGUGAAAUGCACAGAUAUCAGGAGGAACACCGGUGGCGAAGGCGGGUCUCUGGGCCGAUACUGACGCUGAGGAGCGAAAGCGUGGGGAGCGAACAGG